GGUCUAUUGGUGUAGUUGGUUAUCACGUCGUUCUUAUACUUGCAUUUGCGAUGCAAUCUAUGCGAAGGUCCUGAGUUCAAGCCUCAGAUAGACCA